GUAAAAAAUGACAGUCACAAUGCUCCCCUCUGCCCCACUCUGAGAUCCCUGCAUGGCAUAUUAGCAUCCAGGGGUGGUACCUGCGGUGUAAGAGAUGGGGGUGGGGGGGGCAAAAGCUAUUUGUUUGAAUUUAAGCUUUCGUUCAACCAUCCCACAGUGAGAGGCAUCUAUGCUGUGUGAAAGGAGGACCUGACUUGCUACAAACCCAGACCAGGUACUGCGGCACUGCUAUCAUCCACAGUACUGAUUCCAACAGGAAGCAGAGACUUGGACUGGACCAUGGCCACCAAGGUUAACAGAGCACAGGUGGUUAGAACCAUGAAGGUGCGUACUUCCCUCAAGGGAGACGGCAGCUGGAUCCGUAGAGUGACAGACCCAGAUGAAGAAGAGGGAAAACCACGUAAGCCAGAACUUCCAAAGAAACCCACUGGUCUCUUUUCAGCUGAAUCCAGCCCUGUUACCUCUCUUGCUCCAUGCAACCCCUACAGUCCUACAGUGACACCAGAUGUUGACCCACUGACCCCUGAGGAAAUCACCAAAUGGUCAUUGACAUCGAGCAGGGUCAGACCCCUGGCAAAGUCCUAUGUCCUCUCAGCAGCUAAGAAAUUUGAAUCUCUGGAUUCCCCAACGAGCCCCCCACCAUUCAAAAUCAGCCAGUCGCAUUUCCCUAUAAGUAGGCCUGAAGAGUUGUCAGAAGCUGUGGAGGAGUCGGACCCACCAACAGCAGAAUCAAAAGACAAAUCUCUUGGGAAACCUGUGGAACAACCUGCAGUGGAGGAAUCUGUAGAUGCACCUGCUGACCAACCAGAGGCAGCAGAGCCCUCUGAGACAACGACUGAGGAACCUGCAUCUGUGGAAGAAGCUGAUGGAGAACUCAUCGCAAAACUCACUGCAGAACCCACCGUGGGACCCACAGUGGAACCAGCAAGUGAAAUUCAAUCAGAAGAGGCUGCUGUAGAAUCAGUCUUAGAACCUGUAGUGAAACCUGUUGACAGUGUUUCUGAAGAACCUGCAGUUAGGCCAGCGGCUGUGGAGGCAAUUGAACUUGUAGUUGAGCCUGUGGCUGCAGUUAAACCUGUAGUUGAGCCUGUGGCUGCAGUUAAACCUGUAGUUGAGCCUGUGGCUGCAGUUAAACCUGUAGUUGAGCCUGUGGCUGCAGUUAAGCCUGUAGUUGAGCCUGUGGCCGCAGUUAAACCUGUAGUUGAGCCUGUGGCUGCAGUUAAACCUGUAAGUGUGAGCGCUGAUGGCUGCAGUAAACCUGUAGU
ensembl:lncRNA